rnacentral:rRNA from 1 species
CCCAUGGAGCUUUAAACCCAAUUAUAUUCCUAGCCACUAUAACCAUUCAAUCUCUUAGGCCCUAUAUACUUGGUUUUAGGUUGGGGCGACCACGGAGUAAAACCAAACCUCCAUGAUGUACGGAACAACCUCCUCAUCUAAGAGCUACAGCUCUAAGAAUUAGCACACUAUCAUAAAAUGACCCAUUAUUGAUCAACGAACCAAGUUACCCUGGGGAUAACAGCGCAAUCCAUUUUAAGAGCCCCUAUCGACAAAU